rnacentral:rRNA from 1 species
AUUGAACGCUGGCGGAAUGCUUUACACAUGCAAGUCGAACGGCAGCACGGACUUCGGUCUGGUGGCGAGUGGCGAACGGGUGAGUAAUAUAUCGGAACGUGCCCAGUCGUGGGGGAUAACGUAGCGAAAGUUACGCUAAUACCGCAUACGAUCUACGGAUGAAAGCGGGGGAUCGCAAGACCUCGCGCGAUUGGAGCGGCCGAUAUCAGAUUAGGUAGUUGGUGGGGUAAAGGCUCACCAAGCCAACGAUCUGUAGCUGGUCUGAGAGGACGACCAGCCACACUGGAACUGAGACACGGUCCAGACUCCUACGGGAGGCAGCAGUGGGGAAUGUUGGACAAUGGACGCAAGUCUGAUCCAGCCAUUCCGCGUGCAGGAUGAAGGCCCUCGGGUUGUAAACUGCUUUUGUACAGAACGAAAAGGCUCUUCCUAAUACGGAGGGCUCAUGACGGUACUGUAAGAAUAAGCACCGGCUAACUACGUGCCAGCCGCCGCGGUAA